AGGACUAUAUUAUUAUACUUCUCUUCUUAAUGCAACCACCAGUCUGUGACAAGUCAGAGAACUCGUUUGAAGUACGUGAAUGCAGAGUCAAGA
rnacentral:ribozyme from 1 species